rnacentral:rRNA from 1 species
UAUGUGAUCGUCUCUCGCAUAUCAAUAAGCGGAGGAAAAGAAACUAACAAGGAUUCCCCUAGUAACGGCGAGUGAAGCGGGAAGGGCUCAAAUUUGAAAUCUUAAAGGGUUUCCCUUUACGAAUUGUAGUUUAAAGAAGUGUUUUCUGUUGAGGUUUUGGUAAAAGUUCUUUGGAAUAGGACAUCAUAGAGGGUGAGAAUCCCGUAUUUGACCUUUACUUUCAACUUUGUGAUACACUUUCAAAGAGUCGGAUUGUUUGGGAAUGCAGUCCAAAAUGGGUGGUAAAUUUCAUCUAAAGCUAAAUAUUGGCGAGAGACCGAUAGCGAACAAGUACCGUGAGGGAAAGAUGAAAAGAACUUUGAAAAGAGAGUUAAACAGUGCGUGAAAUUGUCAGAAGGGAAGCGUUUGACACCAGUGUUGUUUUUCUGAAAAUCAAUCAAAGAACUGUUUAUGCUAAGUUGUUUAGACUUUAUCAGCUAACUGUUUAGUUUUGAGCUUUUCUUUAAUGCACUUUUCAGUUAACAAGUCAACAUCAAUUUCUUUUGCUGUAAAAAAGCUUGAGGAAGGUGGCUUGAGAUUCGUCUUAAGUGUUUAUAGCCUCUUGCCUAUGCAGUCGGAGAGAUUGAGGUCUGCAGCGUAGAUCCUUCGGGGCUAAAUGCAUUUGUGCUAAGUUAUAGCAUUUUAUAGACAACUUGUUGACUAUGAUUUGUCUUGUAGCUUACUCGCUUAUGUUAUUUUACCUACGCUUAGGAUGUUGACUGAUAUGUAGUCGUA